UGAGUAACACGUAUCCAACCUGCCGUCUACUCUUGGACAGCCUUCUGAAAGGAAGAUUAAUACAAGAUGGCAUCAUGAGUUCACAUGUUCACAUGAUUAAAGGUAUUCCGGUAGACGAUGGGGAUGCGUUCCAUUAGAUAGUAGGCGGGGUAACGGCCCACCUAGUCUUCGAUGGAUAGGGGUUCUGAGAGGAAGGUCCCCCACAUCGGAACUGAGACACGGUCCAA
rnacentral:rRNA from 1 species